rnacentral:lncRNA from 1 species
CAACCUGCCAUGGGAAUGAACACAGGGAUGAAUGCUGGCAUGAAUCCUGGAAUGUUGGCUGCAGGCAAUGGACAAGGGAUAAUGCCCAAUCAAGUCAUGAAUGGUUCAAUUGGAGCAGGCCGGGGAAGGCCAAACAUGCAGUACCCAAAUGCAGGCAUGGGCAAUGCUGGCAGUUUAUUGACUGAGCCACUACAGCAGGGCUCUCCUCAGAUGGGAGGACAACCAGGAUUGAGAGGCCCCCAGUCACAUAAGAUGGGAAUGAUGAGCAAUCCCACUCCUUAUGGUUCACCAUACACUCAGAAUUCUGGACAGCAGAUUGGAGCAAGUGGCCUUGGUCUCCAAAUUCAGACAAAGACUGUUUUACCAAAUAACCUUUCUCCAUUUGCAAUGGACAAAAAAGCAGU